UAUGGAUCGUGAAUAAUUAAUGAAGAUGGGGGGGUAAUGGGCAUUUAAGAGGGAGGUAGUGGUAGAUGGAUAUGAUCAAUAUACAUUUGUUUAAAUGCGUGUAACUUUCAAAGAGUAAACAAUUAUUAUUUUAAUAGAUCAAGGUAUAAAAUAAAAAAGAAAUCAAAUGGGGGGGGGCGUGCUAUUGAAUUCAUAUGUGACCUGUUGAAGUUGAUGUAUCUUUUGGACUUCUAGGUGAAGAAGUCACAUGUGGUGAAUAUGUUAUCAUCAGAGCGCAGAACAAUGAAAUGCAAACACAUAGGAAGAAUCAUGGCAUCUCCAGCUAUAGAGCCAAGCUUUAACACAAUCCAUUUGCACCAUCUCUGCAGUGGAAGAAGCAAAGGGGCCUUCGGAGUUGAGGGAGCGUUCUGAGAGCAUGAAGACUCUAAAGACAAGGGGAAGAUGGAGAUGGGGGACUGCAAUACGGAGCUCCGAGUUUCCCAAAAGGGUUGCUAAUGAUCCUGUUGUGGGGAUUUGAUGAGUUAACAAAUGCUUGAUGUGUAUGGUCAUCCUACUCCGAAGUCUGUUGCUUUGGCCUAUGGGAAGACUGAGAAGCUUCAAAGAAGUUAGCACCAACAACUGUUAAUUGUUGCAAGAUUAGUGAUGUGCUCUAAGGGAACAAGCAGCACUGUGCUGUGUGAACUGACCGUUGGUAAGCAUCACUUUAACUCAGGAGAGCCUGUUACUGAACUGUCUUAAGGAGAUGAGUCACAAGCAACACCUUGCUCUCGACUUGGC
rnacentral:lncRNA from 1 species